UCUGAAUCCCAGCGUUGAUUUUUUCACAAAU
rnacentral:piRNA from 1 species